UGCUUUCUGCUUCCUUUCCCUGUGCGCCCUGUCCAAUCUGCUGCUCUUAGCAUGGCUGACCCUCCAGGAUUGCCCUGGUGUCUCCAGGAAUGAGAGAGCAAUCUCUUGGAGGCUGCUGAGAGUGCAAGUCUCUGAGUCUGCAUAAUUUCUAAAUAAGACAACGUUUGAUGAAGAAUUAAACCACAGCAAAACAAAAGAGCCAUGUGCCCAAGUGGGAAAGACCAGUUUUCUUGGUUAUGUUUGAAUCAUGAAAGUCAAGAUGUUCAGGCAGUAUGUUUCCAGCAGCUGUUUGCACAUUCAAGAAGCAAGGAGUUAGAAAAGCAGCAGAGAAAAACCAAGUGAUACCUUUACAAGUGAUGCUUCUUUUAGGAACCAGGGGCUGAGAGUGGAGAGCUGCAUGUAUCCUGGGGGUGGGAUGGAGCUCUUCUGAGCAUCUUGAAGUCUGGUGCUUCCUUGAAGAACAGCUGUUCAGAUGGUGUCCUGUACUGUGGGCCAGGGAUGACCACAUUAAGACAAUUACAAGUGAAAGUAAAGGCCGAUUCUCAGCUGAGGUAAAGUGAAGUCUGUGGAGCUACACAGAUAAGCAACAGCUGAGGAUCUGCGUCAGCUUUUUAAACUGUCACCCCUGCAAACUGUGCCUUACCCAGCAAAUGCAGCACCAAGCCAUAGCCGCUGCCCAAGCCUUGUAGAAAUGCUCUAAAAGCAGCAGGUGAUGCAGAAGCCAUUACAUCUCUGGGCAAUCUGUUCCAGAGGCUUGUUGCCCUCAAUGCAAAAAAUACUGCACCUCAUUUCUAGUCCAAAGCUUCUAGCUACAGCUUCCAGCUAUUGGUCUCACUGGGUGUGUCUAUAUGGUGCAAGACAGUGUUAGGCCAGAACUUGAUCUACGUAUACUAGUUUUGCAAACAGAAGGCAUACAGAUGCAUCAGUACAGUACUGCAUCCAGGGCAUUAGGUGACUACUUAGAUUAGGGGCAACACCUUGCUGAUAUGCCUAUACUGCUUUCAGUUCUGAAGCUAAUAAUGCAUGCUGGCAUGGCUUAGGUAUUUCUGCAUGGCACUGUCUUGCACUGUGUGGACUGUAUACCACCUAGAUGGUUUACAGUGAACCUGGGGUAUCUGCACAGCACUGCAUUUUGCCAUGAAGUCAUACCCAUUACCUCUUUUUUUUCUAGACUGAGGAGCUGCCUAUAGACCUCUCUUUCCCAAGAUGAUAUUUAUAGACCCUAAUCAAAUCACCUCUUUUUUUGGAUAAGAUAAAUCAGUUGAGCUUCAUAAAUCUCUGCCCUGUCUCUCUCAAACAGCCAAGUUGUACAAGGAAAGGGGGAGAGAAGCAGAGAUGUUUAGUUUGGGGAGAGGGGACAAUAACAGCAGCUUUCAGGCUGCCACGAAGAGGGGGAACAACUAACCGUUUUCCCUUGCUACAGAGGGCAAGACACGAGGCAAUGGGUUUAAACUGCAGCAAAGCAGAUUUGGAUGAAAUCUCAGGGAAAACAUCUUUACUGUAAGAUCAGUAGGACAGUGGAAUAAGCUGCCAGGUAAACCGUGGAAUCUACUUCCUUAGAGGUUUUCAAGAGGCUGAAUAAGCAUCUGGAACGCGGGCAACCUGCCCUUGCAGUGAGCGCUGGGAGCUGAGGUCAGGAACUAGUUAGGAGUCAAAUUAAGGUGAGGAAAUGGAAAAAUGGGCUGAAGAGUCAUAGGUCAGUGUCAGGGCCAGGAAUCCCAAGUCUAGGGCAGGACAUGAGGGCCAGGACUGGGAAGGGGGACAAGGUAAAUGCAGAAGCUGGGGGCUGGGAGCACAAGAAUUAGGACUGGAGCUGGGAGGUAGGGGCAUGCAGGAAACAGGGCAGGAGCGGGAGGCAAAUUCACAACUGGUCAGAGAGCAGGGCAGAGCUGCCAGCUCUGCUGGCACUGAGUAGCUGACGUCCUCCGGGAGGAUGGCCCUUAUACCCUGAGGUCUGGCGUCCUGGAGCCAAUCAGGUGUUCAGGCACAACUGGACCCAAACAGGUGGCUUGUGGCAGGCCUUGGGCUUGGUGUAAGCCAUGGCUAGGCAAUGUUUUUGGCCAGAGUGCCGAAAAAAUUGCAAUGUCUACCUUGUAAGGUGCCGGCAUGUGAG